GCAAAGUCAACCUAAAGAAUAUUUGGUGGGCUUGACCAUGACAAAAGUCAUGUGGUUAUAUCAAGACAAUAUGGCCAUGGGCUUGGAUGUUAAAAAAAAAAAAAAAUCGAGACUUAAUCACAGUCAAAACACUCAAACUCGUGUAUGUGAUAUAGUCUCGAGGGGGCAAUUUGUAGGCAUAAAAUUUUUAUUAUAUGCCACGUCACACAUUAAAGUCAAAUGUUAACUUUUAUUAAUAAAUGAUCUUCUAAAUUAAUUAAUUUGGGCUCACCAUUAAACGUGGUCUAUAUUAAUUAAAUCAUUUAUUAUUGAGUUUUGGACUCAUUAAAUGAAAGUUGGACUUUUAUGUUUGUGAGGCCCAAGAGGCAGGUCAAGUGAAAACCUAGGGUUCUUCUAACUCUAUAAAUAGAGAGCUCCCCCUCAUUUGUCAGGGGAACAAAAAAAAAAAGAGAGAAGACUAAAAAAAGAGAGAGAAAGCUGCUCCAGAGUUCAGAACCUCUCCCACUCCACCGUUCUAUUCUAAAAAAACAUCAAGAAAAACCAAAUCAUUCGUGGAGAUCGAAUCAGUGGAUAUUUAAUUUAGAGAUUGUACUCAUAAUUUUACAUUAAUAAAAUUAUCAUUUGUUCACAUAUUUUGAUUCCAUUUUGCAGACAUCUAAAAUUUGUGUUUACAAUCCUCACACCCAAGAAACCCUAACUCCCCUCUCAAUUCUCCAGUUAAUACAACGACGAACCCCCACGAGUUUUUGUCUUUCAUCAACGGCGAACGAAGCUUCACAAGUCAUCUCGCGAAGAUUGCGAAAAGAUCAAGCGAAGAAUGAUGUCGCGAAGAAGAUGAAGAUCUCGCCAUUGAAUUUUCCAAUUUAGGGUUUGUAAUUUCGGGGUUUUGCUUUUGUUCGUUACAAAUAUCAAGAUGAGGCUGUGAAGGCUGUUGAAAAGCUUGAUGCUCCAAUCCUUUUAAGCAGCAUAUGUCAAACAUGAUUAUGAAUCUGGUUAAGAUAAUACAACAAUGGUGGCUUUUUAAGAUGAACUUUGACAAAGUUGGCGGUUUAGAAGAUGCUAUUAAAGCUAGUUAUGGCAGAGAUAUGUAUUUUUUAAAUACUAAAAUGACAAGGUUGUAAAUAGUCUUAGCUACUUUGUGACAAUAUUUUAUACUCAUGAUAUCAAGCUUGACUUGUACAGCUUUAUGAA